GACGAACGCUGGCGGCGUGCUUAACACAUGCAAGUCGAACGGAAAGGCCCUUCUUUUGUGGGGUGCUCGAGUGGCGAACGGGUGAGUAACACGUGAGUAACCUGACCAUGACUUUGGGCUACCUUCAGGACACUGGGGCUAAUACCGGAUAGGAGCUCAUGCUGCAUGGUGGGGGUUGGCGAGUUUGGGCGGUUGGGGAUGGACUCGCGGCUUCUCAGUAUGUUGGUGGGGUCGUGGCUUACAAAGGAGUCGACGGGUAGCCGGCCGGAGGGGGUGACCGGCAGCAAUGGUGCGGAUAUGCGGCCGAGACGCCUACGGGAGGAAGCAGUGGGGAAUAUUUCACAAUGGGGGGAAGCCGGAUGCAGCAGCGCCGCGGGGUGGAGGUAGGCCGUCUAGGGGUAGACCGCUUCUGCCUGUGAAGAAGAGGGAGUGACGGUAAUGGGUAAAGAAGCACCGGCUAACUACGUG
rnacentral:rRNA from 1 species